rnacentral:rRNA from 1 species
CCCUUAGAUGUCCUGGGCCGCACGCGCGCUACACUGAUGCAUUCAACGAGUUUUACCUUGGCCGAGAGGCCUGGGCAAUCUUUUAAACCUGCAUCGUGAUAGGGAUAGAUUAUUGCAAUUAUUAAUCUUGAACGAGGAAUUCCUAGUAAACGCAAAUCAUCAAUUUGCAUUGAUUACGUCCCUGUCCUUUGUACACACCGCCCGUCGCACCUACCGAUUGAAUGGUCCGGUGAAGCCUCGGGAUUGUGGCCAGUUCACUUUAUUGGGAGUUGGCUGUGAGAACUUGUCUAAACCUUAUCAUUUAGAGGAAGGUGAAGUCGUAACA